rnacentral:rRNA from 1 species
GAGUUUGAACCUGGCUCAGGACGAACGCUGGCGGCGUGCCUAACACAUGCAAGUUGAGCGGAGAUAUAUGGAGCUUGCUUUAUAUAACUUAGCAGCGAACGGGUGAGUAACACGUAGAUAAUCUAUCCUAUACUGGGGGAUAGCCCGAUGAAAGUUGGAUUAAUACCGCAUAUAGCUAUAUAGUUGCAUGAUUAUGUAGUGAAAGAUUUAUUGAUAUAGGAGGAGUCUGCGGCACAUUAGCUAGUAGGUGAGGUAAAGGCUUACCUAGGCGACGAUGUGUAGCCGGUCUGAGAGGAUGAACGGCCACAAUGGAACUGAGACACGGUCCAUACUCCUACGGGAGGCAGCAGUGGGGAAUAUUGCACAAUGGGGGAAACCCUGAUGCAGCAACGCCGCGUGAGUGAAGAAGGUUUUCGGAUUGUAAAGCUCUGUUAGCAGGGAAGAGGAAGGACGGUACCUGCAGAGGAAGCCACGGCUAACUACGUGCCAGCAGCCGUGGUAAUACGUAGGUGGCAAGCGUUGUUCGGAAUAACUGGGCGUAAAGGAUGCGUAGGCGGUUAAACAAGUUAUAUGUUAAAUAUAUAGGCUUAACCUGUAGAAAGCAUAUAAAACUGUUUAACUAGAGUGCAGGAGAGGUAAGUGGAAUUCCUAGUGUAGCGGUGAAAUGCGUAGAGAUUAGGAAGAACACCAGUGGCGAAGGCGACUUACUGGACUGUAACUGACGCUGAGGCAUGAGA